rnacentral:rRNA from 1 species
CGAGUGAGUAAUGUCUGGGAAACUGCCCGAUGGAGGGGGAUAACUACUGGAAACGGUAGCUAAUACCGCAUAACGUCGCAAGACCAAAGAGGGGACCUUCGGGCCUCUUGCCAUCGGAUGUGCCCAGAUGGGAUUAGCUAGUAGGUGGGGCAAUGGCUCACCUAGGCGACGAUCCCUAGCUGGUCUGAGAGGAUGACCAGCCACACUGGAACUGAGACACGGUCCAG